rnacentral:lncRNA from 1 species
CUAAUAAUGCUUUAGUGUUACUUCAUAACUCAUAACCUACCAAAAAGUUCAAAAAAUGUAGAAAAAGCAUUCCAAAAUCCAAAAUGGCAACCAAGUGUGUAAGUGCAACAAGCUUAGUCCAAACCAACCUAAAAUGUGCUCAAAACGUGUCUAUGUAUUACUUGAGUUUUCAAAACGACCAAGCAAAUCCUAAGUGUAAGUUCGUAACUCAUAAUCUACCA